AUGCGGCCUCAGAGCAUAAUUGGUUACUACUUGGUACUAAUUGCCAUCUUCAUACUGGGUCUGUUGAGUUGUGAGCUACUCCCUCCGUCCCAUAAUGGCUGCGCUCUUGAAGGCAGACUCCACAUCAACAAGCACAUGUUGAAUUUUUUUGCUGGAGUCCAUGACGCUGUUGAUGAGACACAUAGGGAUGUCCUGGAGGCAGGGCAAACAUUCCAUGUCGGCGAAUUCCACGGUGAGCGUCCGUGCCUUGGGCAUAGCUCCUGUCUCGAAGCUCAGGCAUGCUGUGACAUCUUCAUCAAAUCGGAACUCAAAGUACUCCAAAACUAG
rnacentral:rRNA from 1 species